UACGGAGGGGGCUAGCGUUGUUCGGAAUUACUGGGCGUAAAGCGCACGUAGGCGGCUUUGUAAGUUAGAGGUGAAAGCCCGGGGCUCAACUCCGGAAUUGCCUUUAAAACUGCAUCGCUUGAAUUGUGGAGAGGUGAGUGGAACUCCGAGUGUAGAGGUGAAAUUCGUAGAUAUUCGGAAGAACACCAGUGGCGAAGGCGGCUCACUGGUCCGGUACUGACGCUGAGGUGCGAAAGCGUGGGGAGCAAACAGG
rnacentral:rRNA from 1 species